CAGUAGCCACGGGAAUACGCAGGGGGCUAGCGUUGCUCGGAAUUACUGGGCGUAAAGGGAGCGUAGGCGGGUCGUUUAGUCAGAGGUGAAAUCCCGGGGCUCAACCUCGGAACUGCCUUUGAUACUGGCGACCUUGAGUAUGGGAGAGGUAAGCGGAACUCCGAGUGUAGAGGUGAAACUCGUAGAUAUUCGGAAGAACACCAGUGGCGAAGGCGGCUUACUGGCCCAUUACUGACGCUGAGGCUCGAAAGCGUGGGGAGCAAACAGGAUUAGAUACCCCUGUAGUCCCUGUCUCUUAUAC
rnacentral:rRNA from 1 species